UGGGGAAUAUUGCACAAUGGGCGCAAGCCUGAUGCAGCCAUGCCGCGUGUAUGAAGAAGGCCUUCGGGUUGUAAAGUACUUUCAGUCGGGAGGAAGGUGGUAAGGUUAAUAACCUUAUCAAUUGACGUUACCGACAGAAGAAGCACCGGCUAACUCCGUGCCAGCAGCCGCGGUAAUACGGAGGGUGCAAGCGUUAAUCGGAAUUACUGGGCGUAAAGCGCACGCAGGCGGUUGAUUGAGUCAGAUGUGAAAUCCCCGGGCUUAACCCGGGAAUUGCAUCUGAUACUGGUCAGCUAGGGGCAUGUAGAGGGGGGUAGAAUUCCAGGUGUAGCGGUGAAAUGCGUAGAGAUCUGGAGGAAUACCGGUGGCGAAGGCGGCCCCCUGGACAAAGACUGACGCUCAGGUGCGAAAGCGUGGGGAGCAAACAGG
rnacentral:rRNA from 1 species